rnacentral:tRNA from 1 species
CAUGUAGCUCAGUCGGUAGAGCACAUCCUUGGUAAGGAUGAGGUCACCGGUUCGAAUCCGGUCAUGG